rnacentral:rRNA from 1 species
CCUACGGGGUGCUGCAGUGGGGAAUAUUGGACAAUGGGCGAAAGCCUGAUCCAGCCAUGCCGCGUGUGUGAAGAAGGCCUUCGGGUUGUAAAGCACUUUCAGUGGGGAAGAAAGCCUUGGGGCUAAUACCCUCGAGGAAGGACAUCACCCACAGAAGAAGCACCGGCUAACUCCGUGCCAGCAGCCGCGGUAAUACGGAGGGUGCGAGCGUUAAUCGGAAUUACUGGGCGUAAAGCGCGCGUAGGCGGUCUGAUAAGCCGGUUGUGAAAGCCCCGGGCUCAACCUGGGAACGGCAUCCGGAACUGUCAGGCUAGAGUGCAGGAGAGGAAGGUAGAAUUCCCGGUGUAGCGGUGAAAUGCGUAGAGAUCGGGAGGAAUACCAGUGGCGAAGGCGGCCUUCUGGACUGACACUGACGCUGAGGUGCGAAAGCGUGGGUAGCAAACAGGAUUAGAUACCCUAGUAGU